rnacentral:rRNA from 1 species
AGGGUUUGAUCCUGGCUCAGGACGAACGCUGGCGGCGUGCCUAACACAUGCAAGUCGAGCGGUGAACCCAAAGAAGGCUUCGGCCGACUUUGGCGGAUCAGCGGCGGAUGGGUGAGUAACGCGUGAGUAACCUGCCUUGUACAGGGGGAUAACAGGUGGAAACACCUGCUAAUACCGCAUAAGACCCCGCUAUCGCAUGAUAGAGAGGUCAAAGAUUUAUCGGUACAAGAUGGACUCGCGUCCCAUUAGCUAGUUGGUGAGAUAAAAGCUCACCAAGGCAACGAUGGGUAACCGGCCUGAGAGGGUGACCGGUCACACUGGGACUGAGACACGGCCCAGACUCCUACGGGAGGCAGCAGUGGGGAAUCUUGCGCAAUGGAGGGAACUCUGACGCAGCGACGUCGCGUGAGCGAAGAAGGUCUUCGGAUCGUAAAGCUCUGUCUUUGGGGACGAAGGAAGUGACGGUACCCAAGGAGGAAGCCCCGGCUAACUACGUGCCAGCAGCCGCGGUAAUAC